CCCAUUCCUCUGUGUCUGUAACAGGGGAGCUUCUUCCUUCUUUCUUCUCCCUUCUUUCUUGCCUGUUAAACUCUCUGCUUCUUAAAACCACUCCAUGUAUGUCCAGGUCAUUUUAUCUAAUUUGGAGACGGAGAACCCUGGUGUUCCUCUGCUCAUCAGAGCCGUCUCACCUGCAAGGGCCAGGAUCCAGCACUAGGGCUGCCCUUUAUGUUCAUGCAGCCUCCACUAGGAAGAUCCUCCUUAGCUGCCACCUGCUGUAAAGGGAUCUAUCUAUCUAUCUGUCUAUCUAUCUAUCUAUCUAUCUUUCUAUCUACCUGUCGAGAGAGAGAGAGGUUUAUUAUAAGGAAUUGACUCAUGUGAUUAUGGAGGCUGAGAAGUUCCACAGUCUGCUGUCUGCAAGCUGGAGACCCAGGAAGGCUGCUGGUGCCGUUCCAGUUUGAUUCUGAAGGCCUGAGAACCAGAACUGAUGCCCACUCAACAUGAAGAUGACAAGGAUGAAGACCUUUAUGAUGAUCCAUUCCCACUUACUGAAUAGGCAGAGCAGGGAGAUGAGGACCUGCUUGCCAAUGUUGAAAACAUCCAGGAGGGGCAGCUCAGGGGUUCCCCUGCAGUUUCCUAACAGCGGCUCACUGGGGGGCGUCUGGCACUCAAGACAUCAGAAUCCACAUCAGAAUCACCAAGUUGAUACAAAUGAAAAACUGCCUUCUCCCAGGUCCAGAACUUCUGGCUAUUCAUAUCAAAGAUUCCAGAUACCAACAUUUCUCACUUAGGAACUGUCAUCUCUUUAUUAACUGAACUACUUAGGAAAAUCAUGCACAAUUUGUCAAGUCUGAGGAACCAAUUACCAUGAGAAAUGGAAUCCAAGCCUGUUGGCACUUCUUGCAGUGUUUGCUCUUCAUUUAGAGAAGGAAAAACAGCAAACAGGGACCCAUCAAAGGUGUCAAAGGCUGGCUGGCGCUGCAAAAACAGAUGGAAAAAAAAUGGAAAUACAAUAUUUAAACUGAUUGAAUUACCUGUUGUAAAAGUGGUCUGUGGGCAAUCCUACCAAUAGUCCCUGAUUAAACUGGCAAUUUUGAAGCAAA
rnacentral:lncRNA from 1 species